ensembl:lncRNA
GAAACGCUAUUUAGCGCGCACCGCUAACUAAGCUAGCCGUUUCACAUCCGUUACACAGGCAAGGGUCAAAACCAGGAGGGCAAGAUAAAGAGAGACUGGGAAAAGCAGGAGCUGAGACAAAACAUUGGUUGACUUGACAAACAAGACGAACUGGCAACAAACAAACAGAAUUAUGGCCCGAUCCGAGUCACUAGCUUACUGGUGCUCUUCCAUGCCGUCCCUAGGAGGGGUGCGUCACUUGAGUGGGUUGAGUCACUGACGUGGUCUUCCUGUCUGGGUUGGCGCCCCCCCUUGUGUUGUGCCGUGGCGGAGGUUUUUGUGGCCUAUACUCGGCCUUGUCUCAAAAUGGUAAGUUGGUGGUUGAAGAUAUCCCUCUAGUGGUGUGGGGGCUGUGCUUUGGCAAAGUGGGUGGGGUUAUAUCCUGCCUGUUUGGCCCUGUCCGGGGGUAUCAUCGGAUGGGGCCACAGUGUCUCUUGACCCCUCCUGUCUCAGCCUCCAGUAUUUAUGCUGCAGUAGUUUAUGUGUCGGGGGCUAGGGUCAGUCUGUUAUAUCUGGAGUAUUUCUCCUUUCUUACCUGGUGUCCUGUGUGAAUUUAAGUAUGCUCUCUCUAAUUCUUUCUUUCUAUCUCUCUGUCGGAGGACCUGAACCCUAGGACUAUGCCUCAGGGCUACCUGGCAUGAAGACUCCUUGUUGUCCCCAGUCCACCUGGCUGUGCUGCUGCUCCAGUUUCAACUGUUCUGCCUGCGGCAAUGGAACCCUGACCUGUUCACUGGACGUGCUACCUGUCCCAGACCUGCUGUUUUCAACUCUCUAGAGACAGCAGGAGCGGUAGAGAUGCUCCCAAUGAUCGGCUAUGAAAAGCCAACUGACACUUACUCCUGAGGUGCUGACUUGUUGCACCCUCGACAACUACUGUGAUUAUUAUUAUUUGACCAUGCUGGUCAUUUAUGAACAUUUGAACAUCUUGGCCAUGUUCUGUUAUAAUCUUGUUGUGUCUUUGGCUAUGCCGGAUUAAGUGGUAUGACAUGCUAUUCUAUAAAAUAAUUUCUACGUAAUUAAUAUUACCUGAUUGAGCUAAUCAUGUAAAUGUAAUUAACUAGAGAGUCGGGGCACCACAAAAUAAUAUUUAUAGAGUUGCUAUCUUCUGAAUGAACUCUUAAAGACCUAGUAAUAUUUUACAUCAAUAGCAGUCGAUAUUAAUCGUCACCUUAAUUCAGUCUCAUCUGAAAGUUGUAAAUUCUUGGUUAUCUUCACGAACCCUGGCUAACAAGUUGAAUCAGCAGUAAAAAAUUGGGUUUAAUUAUUUAUUUACUAAAUACCUAACUAAUCACACAGAAUUACAUAUACACAGAAUGAAUUAUACCUUGAUUACAAAUUACGUCAUAAAGGAAAACGUCCCUAGCGGGUGGAACAGAUAUGACAGCUGGUUACACAAAAGAAAAGGGCAGGGUUUGAGUGAAAGAGCGGGAAGACUGAGGGACAAAGGAAGAAGUUGUGCUAUUGUAAAUACAGUAUCUUAUGCAUUCUAAAUUACCGCCCAUUUGGAAAAGGAAAAUGCAAUAAAUAUUUACUUUGAGCUGCGCUUCGGUAGGUUGGUGGUAGAUGAAAGGCCGUGUUGCCAAACCUAAAUCCUUUGUCCUUUGAAGAAUGUCUCUGGUGGUCAAUUGGAUACGUUGCAGUAACGUUGUUGUGUGAUAGACGGAAUACUCUGUCUGUUCCUUCCUAACCCUCGUUUGCAGAUGCUGUUGCUAACUCAACGGCUAGGAAGUAUCACUUCUGUAGGGAAUAAGAGUUCAAAUUUCAUACCAUUCGCAACCAAAGCUCACGCUGAUGUUGGCUUCGUUCUGUAGUUAUUAUCUGAACCAUUCUGACAUCGGACCGUCGUCCUCACAUCCUCGGAACAGGAGGUUACAUUUUCGUCAAGGGCUUAUAUAGUGGAGGGAGAAAAGGGGUGUGUUUCAUAGUUUACAACGUAUGUAUCUGUCCCCCCCCCUAACUCUAUAGGUCCAUCUCUCACUCUCUUUAUGAUUAUCCUUCUAUGCAUUGGACACACACACACACACACACCGUUAUGACUUGUCUUCGUCAUCUUCUCUUGUUUCCCUGCAGUGAUUGUCCCUGUGCAAACAGUGUGGACUCACUCAGAUAACAGUUGCCCCAGUAAGCAGUUAUGAGACCAUUUUUAUGGAUCCCCCAAACUGGAUGUAACAUUUGGUUUCAGAGAGUUAAACCACUGGGGAUCAUGUGGUUUCAGAGAGUUAAACCACUGGGGAUCAUGUGGUUUCAGAGAGUUAAACCACUGGUGAUCAUGUGGCUUCAGAGAGUUAAACCACUGGUGAUCAUGUGGCUUCAGAGAGUUAAACCACUGGUGAUCAUGUGGCUUCAGAGAGUUAUUAAACCACUGGUGAUCAUGUGGCUUCAGAGAGUUAAACCACUGGUGAUAUCUAUCAAUGUAGCUGUAUAGUAACCAUUAACCUAUGCCAUCACGGACAGCAGAUGAGUGUUUGGUUUCUGUGCAUGUGUGUGUGUUUGGUUUGCGUUUGUAUAUGUGUGUGUGUGUGUGUGCACCCUUGUGUGUUUAUGAGGGAGGGAAAGUCAUUGAGAGAAGGUGUCUGCAAUAUUUGAGGGACCAUGUUGUAAGACCACAUAAUAUGACCACUCAGUAUACCAGACGUACUCCUAUAGCUCCUUACACCAGCCUCCUCUGCUAUAUAGAGUUGAAGUCGGAAGUUUACAUACACUUAGGUUGGAGUUAUUAAAACUCGUUUUUCAACCACUCCACACAUUUCUUGUUAACACAUAUUCCUUUAGCAGAUGCACUUUAAUUUAGAUUACGAGGAAGUCUUUUAAUGGCUGCAUUGUACAACAAUUGCUUUAUGAUGCAAUUACAUUAAUACAAUCAUGCAUAUCAGUCAUUAUUAUGUAUAACAAGAGGUUCUAUCACUUAUGAUGAGUCAUUAAAGCUGGGAUCCUUAAUUGAAACAAUAACAAAGCGGCUAAGCCCGCCUCUGUUUUGGUAAAAAGCUGAGGGAUGGGCCUGGAGAAAUGAAACCACUUUCAAAUUUAAAGCAAGAGCUAUGUAUGUAAGGACUGACCAUCCAUGAUAUCAAUAUUAUUGUUUUAACCAUGUUUUGAGGCUGUACAGUGUUUGUUUACAUUGACUUUGUUUACAAACAUUGGAGUAUAACAAGCCUAUAUUUUGGGUUAAGAUGCUGUAUGACAGUUGAACUAAGCCCUUGAGGCAUUUAGAAGUUAUAUUCUUCAAGAACCAAUGGCUAUAAUGUAUAUCAUUAAGUCCUAAAAUGGAUGUAGUAAAUAAGGAUUGUAGCUAUAAAAUGUGUUUGUGAGUAUGGCAUCACUGUGUUUCACUGACCUUUAUAAUGAAU